CAGGCUCCAGGAGUGCUCCCAGAUGCUGCAAGAAUGCAGGCAGGGAGGGGACUGAAAAGUGGGAUGGCCCUUGGCUUGGUCACUUCCUGCUGCUGAGGGAAUCAGGUGUGUUCUACGAGGCUCUCCAGGCAUCAGCUUCACAGAGAGAAUCUUGAUGCCCAACAAGGACAGCAUUUUCAGAGAUGUACCCUUACAAGGGGUCCCCAUACAAGAUUGAAAUGGCGGAAAGCCCCACAAAGCAGCCAACAUCCCUUCAAAGAUGAGAGGUCCUCCACCUGACUUUCCUGAUACUCCCCUCAGGAUCACAGGGGAUAAUGCUCUUCCCCCACCGGCCAACUCACCAUGACAUAGAAUGAAAUGGCCCAGCUACAGCCUGGUAACCAAGAUAAAGAACUGAAGAUCCAAAGCCAGAGAAUGAUAAAGUAACUUCAACCUGACACAGUAAAACAUUGCAGGGAGAGUCCGGGAUCUGGAAUGAGAAUGCCACGUCCAGGCUGUGUUACCUUACAAAAAUUAUUAAUGCUUCAGUGGCCUCAUCUGCAGAAUGGAAAUACCAAUAAUAGUAGCUAUCUGAUAAGGUUAUUGUGGGGAUAGUAGGAGACAAUCCAUAAUAAUGUUUGAGUAGUAGCUGGCACAUUGUAGAUACUCAACAUACGCCAGCUAUUAUUGUUAUAGAAAAUAUGCAGAUCUGGAAUAGCUUGGAAAAUGUUUAUGAUACAAUAACAAAUUCAAAAGAAGUCUACUAAAUACUGUGUAUUUUAUGAUUGCAAUUUUGUAAAAACUAUAUCUGCUUAUGGAAAAAGAUUUGAAGAAAAUAUGCUUAUGUGAAAAGAAUUUCUUACAGUGAUGGGAUUACGUGUAGCUUUAUUUAUUUAUUUGAGACCAGGUCUCACUCUGUUGCCCAGGCUGCAAUACAGUGGUGUGACACCAGCUCCCUGAAACUCCUGGGCUCAAGUGAUCCUCCUGCCUCAGCCUCUUGAAUAACUGGGACUACAGGCAUGUGCCACCAUGCCCGGCUAAUAUUUAAUUUUUUUGUGGAGACAGAGUCUCCCUAUGCUGCCAUGCUGGUCUUGAACUCCUGGGCUCAAGCGAUCCUCCAG
rnacentral:lncRNA from 1 species